rnacentral:rRNA from 1 species
CCACACUGGGACUGAGACACGGCCCAGACUCCUACGGGAGGCAGCAGUGGGGAAUAUUGCACAAUGGGCGCAAGCCUGAUGCAGCGACGCCGCGUGAGGGAUGACGGCCUUCGGGUUGUAAACCUCUUUCAGUAGGGAAGAAGCGAAAGUGACGGUACCUGCAGAAGAAGCGCCGGCUAACUACGUGCCAGCAGCCGCGGUAAUACGUAGGGCGCAAGCGUUAUCCGGAAUUAUUGGGCGUAAAGAGCUCGUAGGCGGUUUGUCGCGUCUGCCGUGAAAGUCCGGGGCUCAACUCCGGAUCUGCGGUGGGUACGGGCAGACUAGAGUGAUGUAGGGGAGACUGGAAUUCCUGGUGUAGCGGUGAAAUGCGCAGAUAUCAGGAGGAACACCGAUGGCGAAGGCAGGUCUCUGGGCAUUAACUGACGCUGAGGAGCGAAAGCAUGGGGAGCGAACAGGAUUAGAUACCCUGGUAGUCCAUGCCGUAAACGUUGGGCACUAGGUGUGGGGGACAUUCCACGUUUUCCGCGCCGUAGCUAACGCAUUAAGUGCCCCGCCUGGGGAGUACGG